rnacentral:lncRNA from 1 species
CAAAGGGACUACAUUCACAGGCAAAGCUAUCUUGGCAGCUAUACCAUCAGUGUUCCCUCAGAUUGAGUCUGUUCUAUUGGAUCCACAAUUGCCUUUUCCUCAUUUCAAGGCCAUACAAAAUCUUUAUGAAGAAGGUAUUGAGCUUCCUAAAGAUGCUGGUCUUUUACCUUUGCUUCCAAGACUCAUCAAAGCUGCUACUGAAGCUCGCGACGAUAUUCUCCAGUUCGAAGCACCAAUCCUCAUUAACAGUACCUACCUAUCUCUCCUUUUGAAUCUUCCAUUAUACUGUUUUGGUUGUGACUUGUGACUAAACUGACUUUUCUAAUAUCAUUCACAUUGGUUGAUUCAGGGGAUAGAUUUUCAUGGUUAAGAGACGACGAGUUUGCUCGCCAGACACUUGCGGGCCUUAAUCCUUACUGCAUUGAACUAGUUAAAGUAAGCUAUAAAUGCAUCUCAAUUAUUGAUAUAUUAUUUGUUUAACUCUUUUAGAGUAUGACUUGUUUUUUUAUUUUCAUAGUAAAACCUAUAAUUUAACACUAUUUUAAUUUGGCACCUUAGUAAAUUAUUGUUUCUUCCAUUUAAGUAAGAUAAAUGUUUAAGCUUUUUUUUAAUUAAAAAACAUAUAAUGUAUUAAAUAAACUAUUUAGAAACCUAGUAUACCCUUAUACUAUAAGUAAGUAUAUUUGUUUUAACUUUAAUAAUAACAAAUACAUGCAUUAAGAAAUGUUAUACAUAUUUUGAUUUGCAAAAAUCAAAGAAAAAAACCUUUGUAAAACAGAGUGAAUAUGAUUAAAAUAUAUUACUAUU